CUUUGGUUUCAACCUUUAAUUGUUCCUUACAGGUAGGGUUGGGAAUAGGCCAGGUCCGCCUACAAGGGCCUAUGGCCUGGCCUGUUUAAGCCUGGUCUGGCCUGGCCUGUUUAUUAAAAAGGCUAGGCUUAGGCUUUUUAAAAAGCCUAUUUAAGUAAAUAGGCCAGGCUUAGACUAUCAAAAAAGCCUAUGAAGCCUAAUAGGCCGGCCUGUUUAUGCAUGUUAGGCUUCAUAGUGGACUUUUUUAAUAGGCUUUAAAGCUUUAUAGUGAAAUAGGCUUUUAAGGCCUUAUAGUAGUGAUAGACAAGUCCUACACUGAAAUAGGCUUGGAGGCCUAUUAAGCCUAUUUAAAAGUAGCUAAAAUGGAAUGUUUAGUGACUUUAAUAGUAAGUAGGCCUGUAAAUAGGCUUUCAGGCCAGACCAGACUUUUAAAUAGGCCAGACCAGGCCAAAAAAAUAGGCCUAUGAAAGGCCAUAGGCCAGGCUCAGGCCUGCAAAAUUUUUGUAGGCCAGGCUCAGGCCUAUCAAAGUCUGGCCUGGCCUAGCCUAUUCCCAACCCUACUUACAGGUUUGUGACUUCUCGCUUAUCACAAAUUCACAAUUGAAUGGUUUAUUUAAAUAUAAUUAUCUCGUGAUCUCUAAACUGAUUAAUUCUUGGUCAUAUGCAUGACGUUGCUGGUGGUUAAUUUUGAUACUCGGGUUGACACUAUUUUGUAAAGCAAAUUGUCAUGGAGAAUGAUUAAAAAAAUAUAUUGCUUAAAGAUUAGUGAAAAUAUACCCGAGUGUCACUGGAUAGCUCAAAGGUCAGGUUAUUUUUCUUUUAUAAUUAAAAAUAAUAUUAACUAUUUGGGUUUCAAUAUUUAUAUGCAUCAACAAAAUUUCUUUUGGGAUUGUCGAAAAAAACUCUUUUGAAUUUUCAAACAUAAUUUUUUAAAAAAUAGAAAACAAAUGAAAAUAAAAAUUAUUGUAAUUAUUGAUAAAAACAUGAAUCGUUUCAAAUACUUGAAAAUUAUUGUAAUUAUUCACAUUUUUAUUAUGUUCCAUGUUAUAGUUUUUUCUUUAACAAUUGUUAUGUUCGUUUUGUUAAGAUUUGUUAGGGGAUUCCAAUUGGGGGUCGAGUGCAACAACAAGCCUAGGAUCAACAAGAGACUCAGACACUACAUUUUCAUAAAAAAAUCAUAAGAUAUCGAGUAUAUGGAUGACAUACAUACUGUUAUUUACAUUUAAAAAUAAUUAAGUUGUUAACCGAGAACGACGAGCAAUCAAAUUUAGAGUUAGUUGAAUUUCCUUUACACAAAUAAAUAAUAGUUGAAUCAAUAUCAGAAGCAGUCAAGGACAUACAUAUGUGAGAUUUGAUUGGAAAUAUCUAUAGAUAGGUUAAUCUUGUUUAUUUUUUUAUUUUUUAAGGAAGAUAGCUUAAUCUUGUUGAAACUUCCUUUAGUAGUCAUUUGCCUAGAGGCUGGCUUCUAACAAAAAUGCUCUUUCCACAUCACUUUGUUGAAUAGCAUAUAAAAC
rnacentral:lncRNA from 1 species